rnacentral:rRNA from 1 species
AUUGAACGCUGGCGGCAGGCUUAACACAUGCAAGUCGAACGAUGAAGCCGGAGCUUGCUCCGGUGGAUUAGUGGCGAACGGGUGAGUAACACGUGAGCAAUCUGCCCUUGACUCUGGGAUAACUGCGGGAAACUGUAGCUAAUACCGGAUACGACACCUUGGGGCAUCCCAGGGUGUGGAAAGAAUUUCGGUCAAGGAUGAGCUCGCGGCCUAUCAGCUAGUUGGUGAGGUAAUGGCUCACCAAGGCGACGACGGGUAGCCGGCCUGAGAGGGUGACCGGCCACACUGGAACUGAGACACGGUCCAGACUCCUACGGGAGGCAGCAGUGGGGAAUAUUGCACAAUGGGCGAAAGCCUGAUGCAGCAACGCCGCGUGAGGGAUGAAGGCCUUCGGGUUGUAAACCUCUUUUAGCAGGGAAGAAGCGAAAGUGACGGUACCUGCAGAAAAAGCACCGGCUAACUACGUGCCAGCCGCCGCAGUAA